rnacentral:tRNA from 1 species
GCGGGUAUAGUUUAGUGGUAAAAGUGUGAUUCGUUCUUUUAA